GUAAGAACACUUAAUACAAUACAGGCAUAGUAGGACUAAACAAAAACAAAAACAUAGCAGAGCCUAAAAACCCCAAAAGCAGCAAGACCACAUCCCCUGCAACAUCAAGUUAGCUGCAAAAAGUCUAUUGACUAAAUCUCACCACCAGCUAAAAACAAGCAAAUGAAGACCAAUUAUAGUCAGUUAGGCAUUUGUCAAUUUCUCACUAAAAGCAACAGCAAAGUGGUUGUGAGAAACGAGUGUAUACCGGUUUCUACUUUCUAUGCCAAUUACACCAUAAGAAUCUAUUGCUAUCAAGAUUACUAUUUACAACACAAUAACAGAGAAAUAUAAUUUGAUGCUUUAUUUCCAUGACAAAGCUAAGCAUUGUGACUAUUAGUCUAUUACUUACUUGUUAUCAGAGUACCAUGUCAGCCAAAUACCCAUCUAUUCAGACUUCAUAUAAGUUUGAACUUCAAAUUUAAAAAACAAGCUAUUUCUUUAUACCAUUGCAAUUAAUCUUUAGUACAGCCCUAGACAUCAAACACGUUCACCAUCUUACCUUGAUUGUCAUUUUAUGGCACGAAGAAAACACUAACACCAGAUUACGUUUCUUGGAAUUCUAAACUUCGUAGUACUGCUAAAGACAAGAAACCAAUAAAUUAGAGUUACU
rnacentral:lncRNA from 1 species